rnacentral:rRNA from 1 species
UACGUAGGGUGCGAGCGUUAAUCGGAAUUCUGGGCGUAAAGCGUGCGCAGGCGGUUCGUUGUGUCGGCGGUGAAAGCCCCGGGCUCAACCUGGGAAUGGCCGUUGAAACUGGCGAACUGGAGUGUGGCAGAGGGGGGGUGGAAUUCCGCGUGUAGCAGUGAAAUGCGUAGAGAUGCGGAGGAACACCGGAUGGCGAAGGCAGCCCCCCUGGGCUAACACUGACGCUCGAGGCACGAAAGCGUGGGGAGCAAACAGG